rnacentral:rRNA from 1 species
UACGUAGGUGGCUAGCGUUGUUCGGAAUUACUGGGCGUAAAGCGCACGUAGGCGGAUUUGUAAGUCAGGGGUGAAAUCCCGGAGCUCAACUUCGGAACUGCCUUUGAUACUGCAAGUCUCGAGUCCGGAAGAGGUGAGUGGAACUCCUAGUGUAGAGGUGAAAUUCGUAGAUAUUAGGAAGAACACCAGUGGCGAAGGCGGCUCACUGGUCCGGUACUGACGCUGAGGUGCGAAAGCGUGGGGAGCAAACAGG